GCAGAAGAGGACAGUGGAACUCCAUGUGUAGCGGUGAAAUGCGUAGAUAUAUGGAAGAACACCAGUGGCGAAGGCGGCUGUCUGGUCUGUAACUGACGCUGAGGCUCGAAAGCAUGGGUAGCGAACAGGAUUAGAUACCCUGGUAGUCCAUGCCGUAAACGAUGAGUGCUAAGUGUUGGAGGGUUUCCGCCCUUCAGUGCUGCAGCUAACGCAUUAAGCACUCCGCCUGGGGAGUACGACCGCAAGGUUGAAACUCAAAGGAAUUGACGGGGGCCCGCACAAGCGGUGGAGCAUGUGGUUUAAUUCGAAGCUACGCGAAGAACCUUACCAGGUCUUGACAUCUUCUGCCAAUCUUAGAGAUAAGACGUUCCCUUCGGGGACAGAAUGACAGGUGGUGCAUGGUUGUCGUCAGCUCGUGUCGUGAGAUGUUGGGUUAAGUCCCGCAACGAGCGCAACCCUUAUUAUCAGUUGCCAGCAUUCAGUUGGGCACUCUGGUGAGACUGCCGGUGACAAACCGGAGGAAGGUGGGGAUGACGUCAAAUCAUCAUGCCCCUUAUGACCUGGGCUACACACGUGCUACAAUGGACGGUACAACGAGUUGCGAAGUCGUGAGGCUAAGCUAAUCUCUUAAAGCCGUUCUCAGUUCGGAUUGUAGGCUGCAACUCGCCUACAUGAAGUUGGAAUCGCUAGUAAUCGCGGAUCAGCAUGCCGCGGUGAAUACGUUCCCGGGCCUUGUACACACCGCCCGUCACACCAUGAGAGUUUGUAACACCCAAAGCCGGUGAGAUAACCUUCGGGAGUCAGCCGUCUAAGGUGGGACAGAUGAUUAGGGUGAAGUCGUAANCAAGGUAGCCGUA
rnacentral:rRNA from 1 species